rnacentral:rRNA from 1 species
CCUGCCUGUGGUCAUAUGCUUGUCUCAAGGAUUAAGCCAUGCAUGUGUUAGAACAGUUCCUUGCUAUUGAACGAGUCUGCGAACGGCUCAAUAUCACAGAAAUAAUCCGUGACGGACCAAAUCAAAAAACGGAUAACCAGGUCAACGCCUAGCUAAUACGUGGUAGAUUGAGAAUACCCCGCGUGAGGGGAGGCGCUUGGUGUUCGUCUGGCUAAUCUUCGCGGGGAAUCGCCCCCGUGGUGGUGGUUUUCGCCUUGUCGCCGUGGGCGGGGGGUGGACCUCAUCAUGGGCUCUGUGGAGACUGUUGGAAUAGACCCAAGUUUGCCCAUCGCAUACACUCCAGUUGGCCCCAGUUGGUGGAUUGAAGCAUAAUGUGGCGAGGUUCGUCUUGAGCUUCUGCCCGAUCAAUUCGCCGGCACGGAAACCGCAUUCCGGGGUAGCCACUGGUACCGGAAAACUAGGGUUUGAUUCCGGAGAGGAAGCUCGAGAGAUGGCUGCCAGGUCUAAGGAUCGCAGCAGGCGCGCAAAUUACCCAAUCUUGACUCAAGGAGGUAGUGACGAGGAAUAUCGACCCCGUACUAAAGUGCGGGAUGUCGGAAUGAGACGAUUGCAAAAACGUCACCUAGAAUCGAUUGGAGGGCAAGUUCUGGUGCCAGCAGCCGCGGUAAUUCCAGCUCCAAUAGCAUAUAUUAAAAUUGCUGCGGUUAAAAAGCUCGUAGUCGGUGUCUUUGGCACCCGUAUGUCGCCCGGGAGAAGGGGCGGGUCUCGGCGCUCACGUGGCCGGCUUGAAACACCGGUCGCGGGUUCGUGAUUUCGGUCUCUACCAUGCCGCACGGCAGGUGUGGGGGGGCCGGGGUCGCCCGUACCUGUCUGGGAAGGACUGGGUGGCCUGUCUUGUGUUGGGUCCUGAACGUCGGCGUCCGCAAAAAAGCCUCGAAGUCAUACCAAACUCGCGAGAGGACGGAGGGGUGCGGGUCGCGUCGGCGGGAUGCCCUUCGCAUGGUUACUGUGAUCAAAUCAGUGUGUUUAUGACUGGGUACCCGGCCCUCAAAAGCCGUGGUAUGCCUGAAUGAAUUAGCAUGGAACAACAUCUUCGGACCGGGUCAAAAAGGCCCAAGAUCGCUCUCGGUGGGGCCCGUCAAACGGUUCUGCUGGGGGUGACCCAGAGCGGCUUCUCUCCACUAGCCAGGAGGUUGCUGUUUCUGCAUUCGAAAGGACCAAUCGAGACCACGGGUAUCAUGGCGGGAGAGGUGAAAUUCAAUGAUCGUCAUGGGACCUCCAACGGCGAAAGCACGUGGUUAGCAUUGGUUCGUUGAUCAAGGACGAAAGCCAGAGGAGCGAAGACGAUCAGAUACCGUCGUAGUUCUGGCUAUAAACGAUGCAAACCAGUUGUCGUCAGUCUGUCAAGAUCAUUCCUGACGCUGGCGGCGGCCCCCCGGGAAACUCAUAAGUCUUUGGGUUCCGGGGGGAGUAUGGUCGCAAGGCUGAAACUUAAAGGAAUUGACGGAAGGAUACCACCACGGUGUGGAAUGUGCGGCU